rnacentral:rRNA from 1 species
CCUACGGGAGGCAGCAGUGAGGAAUAUUGGUCAAUGGACGCAAGCCUGAACCAGCCAAGUAGCGUGCAGGAUGACGGCCCUCCGGGUUGUAAACUGCUUUUAGUUGGGAAUAAAAGGGGGCUCGUGAGUCCCGCAUUGUAUGUACCAUCAGAAAAAGGACCGGCUAAUUCCGUGCCAGCAGCCGCGGUAAUACGGAAGGUCCGGGCGUUAUCCGGAUUUAUUGGGUUUAAAGGGAGCGUAGGCCGGCUUUUAAGUCAGCUGUGAAAGUCCGCGGCUCAACCGUGGAAUUGCAGUUGAAACUGGAGGCCUUGAGUGCACACAGGGAUGCCGGAAUUCAUGGUGUAGCGGUGAAAUGCUUAGAUAUCAUGAAGAACUCCGAUCGCGAAGGCAAGUGUCCGGGGUGCAACUGACGCUGAGGCUCGAAAGUGCGGGUAUCAAACAGGAUUAGAUACCCUAGUAGUC